CCUACGGGUGGCAGCAGUGAGGAAUAUUGGUCAAUGGACGAGAGUCUGAACCAGCCAAGUAGCGUGAAGGAUGACUGUCCUAUGGGUUGUAAACUUCUUUUAUAAAGGAAUAAAACGAGGCACGUGUGCCUUUUUGCAUGUACUUUAUGAAUAAGGAUCGGCUAACUCCGUGCCAGCAGCCGCGGUAAUACGGAGGAUCCGAGCGUUAUCCGGAUUUAUUGGGUUUAAAGGGAGCGUAGAUGGGUUGUUAAGUCAGUUGUGAAAGUUUGCGGCUUAACCGUAAAAUUGCAAUUGAUACUGGCAGUCUUGAGUGCAGUUGAGGUAGGCGGAAUUCGUGGUGUAGCGGUAAAAUGCGUAGAGAUCACGAAGAACCCCGAUUGCGAAGGCAGCUUACUAAACUGUGACUGACAUUGAUGCUCGAAAGUGUGGGUAGCAAACAGGAUUAGAUACCCGGGUAGUC
rnacentral:rRNA from 1 species